AUUGAACGCUGGCGGCAGGCCUAACACAUGCAAGUCGAGCGGCAGCGGGAAAGUAGCUUGCUACUUUUGCCGGCGAGCGGCGGACGGGUGAGUAAUGCCUGGGAAAUUGCCCAGUCGAGGGGGAUAACAGUUGGAAACGACUGCUAAUACCGCAUACGCCCUACGGGGGAAAGCAGGGGACCUUCGGGCCUUGCGCGAUUGGAUAUGCCCAGGUGGGAUUAGCUAGUUGGUGGGGUAAUGGCUGACCAAGGCGACGAUCCCUAGCUGGUCUGAGAGGAGGAGCCGCCACACUGGAACUGAGACACGGUCCAGACUCCUACGGGAGGCAGCAGUGGGGAAUAUUGCACAAUGGGGGAAACCCUGAUGCAGCCAUGCCGCGUGUGUGAAGAAGGCCUUCGGGUUGUAAAGCACUUUCAGCGAGGAGGAAAGGUUGAUGCCUAAUACGUAUCAACUGUGACGUUACUCGCAGAAGAAGCACCGGCUAACUCCGUGCCAGCCGCCGCAGUAAUAC
rnacentral:rRNA from 1 species